AUCGAUCACAGGUUGACGUUGCGAUCGGUCUGGAAAUUUCACCUUCUUAUCUGUCUAUUUCGCUGUAACAAUCGUCUUAUGAAGUCUGGCGUUAUCUUUAGGAAGAUAUUUAGCCAGGUAUGACUGAUCUGGUCACCUGUUCGAAUCACUAUGGACACACGUGGACAUCGAAGGAACUUAAGCGAAUAAAGAUCAGUCAUCCAGAGGCAUCCAUCAGUUCAACAGGAGAUGAGAACCGGAGUGCUUCUGUACCGUGCCGCUGUUCUAGUAAUAGUCCAGAACCUGUCUCUAUGCGUUCCCCACCCAGCCGCUGUCCAUCCGCGGCCAGCUAGAACCUACCACUUCUUCCGAGGACCCAUGCCGAAUUAUUCCAGAGGACUGCGCCGAGAUCAGCCGACAAAUGGGACCCUGUUGUGUCUCGAGGUGUGUGGUGACCGAUAUUACGCGUGUAGUGUUGAAAACUGUUCAGAGGAGGACGAAGUUUGCAAUCAGUAUUGUACUAGUGUGUUUCGUAAUUGUUUUAAGACCUGUCACCUGGAGUCGCCUGUACCUGUCCCUAUCCAGCCCCACCCGCCCAAUAGAAGCAUAGGUAACGGUGCAUCACGUGAUGAUGUCAUCAGUGUGACGACGGGGACGUGGAUUUUCAAUGAAGCUUUGUACAAGAGAAUACACAAAUCGUCCGAAUCCAAAACUGAUACCCAUACGAUCCCUUCUAAUUACACAUCAUCACAUUAACCUGUCCAAAGGAUGAGGAAAAUAAAACUGCUGGCUUCAAAGUUGUGAAGUGAUACAUUGUAAACACGUACUCUCUAAUAUUACUGUAGUAUAUGUAUUGUGUUUACCGGGGAUACAUAAUCGUCAUUUACUGGAUGUGAAGCCUGUUAAAACUGAUCUUGUCAACAUGUACAAGCGCCUGAACAUACACGCUGCAGCAUGGAAUAUUGCAAUUCAGGUGAAAGAAAAUGUUUCCUCCCAGGAUGUAAAAUAACAUUGUCAAAAUAAAGCAUCACAUAU